AAUCACAGUAACAGUUCAAUGUAAUGUAGAGUUGGUCAGAAUGCGUUUACAUGUCAUGCAUUACAGAAAACGUGUUUAGCCUCACUUGUUGCUAACUAACGUUAACAUUAGCCUACUGUUUAAAAGGUUAGAAUCAGUGCAACGUUAGCGUUAGUUGUAAUGUGUUAACUCUGAAUUUUAACAGAGUGUGAUGAAGACAAAAACAUUUGAAAUCGGCAGAUUAAAUUUUUCAAAAAAUUUUAAAUCUUGGCGCGAGUAUGCCUUUCCUCAGCCUGUGCUUGAGUUGUCAUGGAGACGCGCGCUCUUACACAACCACAAGUCAUGGCGCUGCGCUGAGCUCCGUUCAGCCUGUGAAUGUGGUAUUAUCUUUGCGAUCUGUUGGCAUUACGGAAACGAAAGGUGCAAGAAACGUAACGUUAAUCAUAACUCAAAUAAUCUCCGCCUAAAUACUAAACGGUAUUUUCUGAUGACUUGCAAAAACGUAGUCUCAAAACGUAACUGUCUAUCACACGCAGCUUGUUGCAUGCUGAUCCAUGCAUGAGGAAAGCCUGACGGAGAACAUUUAAGCUGCGCUCCUCACCUGAGCAGGUACAGAGCAGAGCUUCAUCUCACACUAGCACAUUGAGAAUUGAAGGUCGGUUGUUGCUGACUACAGAAAAGUUCUUAAAUGGAGGCAUGUAAAAGCAAGGAAAGUGAAACUUCAGCCAGACCUUG